AUUGAACGCUGGCGGCAGGCCUAACACAUGCAAGUCGAGCGGAGCGGCGGACGGGUGCGUAAUACCUAGGUCUCUGCCUGGUCGUGGGGGAUAACGUUCGGAAACGGGCGCUAAUGCCACAUCCUCUUGGCUGAGCAUAGGUCGGAUUAGCUAGUGGGUGGGGUAAAGGCAUACCAAGGCGACGAUCCGUAACUGGUCUGAGAGGAUGAGCAGUCACACUGGAACUGAGACACGGUCCAGACUCCUACGGGAGGCAGCAGUGGGGAAUAUUGGACAAUGGGCGAAAGCCUGAUGCAGCCAGGCCGCGUGUGUGAAGAAGGUCUUCGGAUUGUAAAGUACUUUAAGCUGGGAGGCGUUACCAACAGAAUAAGCACCGGCUAACUCCGUGCCAGCAGCCGCGGUAAUAC
rnacentral:rRNA from 1 species